rnacentral:miRNA from 1 species
UCAAAAUCAGAGAAUCAACCA